UGUUUCAUACUCCAACCGUUUCGCAUAUUUUUCAGGACAACAGUCUUUUUGAUAACCCCCAAAUUGCUGGCUUGACACACUUUUUGCCAAACGUGACUUCCCUCAAUGACGAAGUAGCGAUUCCAGUUGUUCCUAACUACAACCACGUCCCAUCAGCAGUGGUUGGGGAUUACUUUAGAUACAAGGGUUCUUUAACAACGCCAGGAUGCCAGGAGGGUGUUUUGUGGUACGUUUUCCAAACACCUGUCUCCAUUUCUGCAGCGCAGGCAAACGUGCUUCGGUACGGCAACAGUGUCUACUCGAAUGCUGAUGGAACCACGCCAUUGCUUAACAACUAUCGUCCCCUGCAGGACCCCGGCAAUAGAAACAUAAGUCGUACCUUCUCAUUUGGUUCAGCAAGCUUCCAGUCAACCAGUUAUCACCUGGUAGCAAUCUGUAUAAUGUUUGUCGCUUCAGUGUUGUAAAACUAAACUAAAUUACCGAAUAAAAUACCUACUGGAUUUCGGUAAUAUAGUACUGUGGGGUAAGAUGGGAUACCAGCUAGUAGCGCCUAAAUUCCAUAUUUUCUGAUCGUGUUUUAACAGUAACCACGGUUAUAUAGUUCUGCAAAUUCGUCUUUGUUUACUCCCAAAUAGAACAAGAAAAUAAAAUAAAGUCCCAUCUUACCCCCUGCUAUAUUUAUUAAUUCAAUCCAUGAUACCGAACGAGCAUAACAUAUUUUAACCAUUGUGCCGUUUGAAUCAAAAGCGUUACAGUAUGAAGGCAUGUUGUACUUGACAACCUGUUUGACUAAAAUGCAAUUUUUUAUUUAGAAAAAAUGUAAUGACGAAAAGGAACAUUUUCUUUUUUCCGAUUAUGCUGCCUUUUGAGCUGUAUAACCAGAAUGACAGCAGUUAUACUGCUUGAUUGCCUGUACGUGCGCUGUUUUAUAUUUAUUUUCGUGAAUAUGACUAUUCUUUGAGAAUAUGAACUAUUUUUCUAUAAAAUGCAUUUUC